CUAAAAACAGCCUAGUCAGAGUUGGGAGGCAGGUAGGAAGAGUGGGGAAGAGUAGCUGAGCUUUACCAGCCCUGGGGCUGUGCUCCAAACGUGAGCAGACAUUCAGUAGACCUAACUAAGCCACUCCAGAUCUAAGUUGGUUCGCCUCCAGAAAUGAACUAGUUUAGAUAGGGCCUGGUAUUUUUUUAAUCCAACUGAAUCUCCUCUAAUGUCUGCACAGAUGGUCAUUUACCUUAACCUAACCCCAGUUCGGCCAAUCUAAAUGUAAUGUCUGCAUGUACCCACUGCCCCUUGCUGCAUGGGGGCUUGUGAAGAGCCCCCCACAUGGGUUGGGGCAGCGGGGAUUGCUCCCCCCCCCCAACAGGAGCAAGAAGAGUCCGGGGUUUCUUUGGGGGGGGGUCUUAAAGGGCCAGAGCUGACCUGUGUGGGGCACCCGUGAGGUGGAUAGGGGAGGGGGGGGAUGGGAGAGCCCCCCCCCAUGCAGUUGGGGGGGCAGAGAGGGUUGCCCCCCCCCCAUGCCCACCAGCACCUGCAAAGCCAGGACUUUUUCCCCCCAGGUGCUGGGAACUGGGUGGGGCAGGGCAGCCAUUGCUUGGCUGGGAGAGUGGCCAGGGGAUGGGCCUGGCCUGGAUGACUCAGAGAUUUGGCCGAAUCAAAUCAGGACAGUGAUUCAAAUCACCAAAUCGAAUCGCUGUCUCCCAAAUCAUCCGAAUCCAAAGCAAAUACUACCCACUUCGCACAGGCCUGUUGGCUAACGAUCCCUGCAAGUGUUGGCUUGCUUCAGUAUCAGCGCUUGGCUCCUCCAACUGGGAACACUUCUGGUUCCUCUCCUUAGCUGCAGUUUGUUCAGGUUAGUUUGUAGAGUGAAUCAUUACAAUUCAGAAGUGUAUUUCUUUAGUGGCUUUAAUGUGGCACUUGCAUUAUGCCUUUGAACAAACAAAAGUGUAAGUUAUUACACUUCUUGCACAGCUACACUUUAAAAGACCGCUUUAUGAGGAAUAUUUCAAAGGAUCACAGCCAAGUGCAUGCAAAGUCCCAACAAAGCAAAUGGCAGUAAGAGCAAACAGGCAAGGCAACAGGUGCCAGCCAAGGUCUUCUACAAUUGAUUUUUCAGGUCUGAAUUGGCAGCCUCAGACACACUUCCAGCCCCUCCGGGGGCUCAUUGGAGUUCUGCUGCUGUUUCCUCCAUCAGAGACAGUGUCCCUAGGAAUUACUUAAGAUGGCAGCUGUUGGCACUGCUUCAGUAUAGUGGGAAGUCUGCUUUACUGCCUGCUGUCUUAAUGACACUAUGCACAAUGCUACCAAGUGGGGUUAGAAAUAUGAUGUACAGGGACUGACUUUCUGUAAUGGCUUCCAGUUUGUCUGUUUUUGCACUUGCAGAUAUGUGGUUCUGUGCCAGGUUUCUGUGUGUCCAAGCUUCUGUAGUGCCUGUUAUGUGCAUACUGUAGAUCCAGAAUUUCGAAUAACCCUGGGACUCCCUUCCAAAUGCUAUAUCACUGACUCUGCUUAUUGUGUACAUCUGGAUCAUACUCCACACUCUACAGUAGGUGUAGUCCUAGAAAAGGGGUGUAUUCAAAGCCUGCUUAAGUUGCUGGAUGGAGUCUUUUCACUGACUUUAAUGAGCUUUAGAACCGGCUCUUACAGUGCUUUCAUUUUCAAAGGCAUUGAGCUAUUGUUGAGGUUCAAGGAAAGCAAAAUGCUCUUGCUAAUUCCUUGUUUUAGACUCAUGUUCCUUGUGCUGCAUACAUUCUUAAGCUGAAGGAAAGAACCAAUCAAGUCCUAUUCUUCCUGUCUCUGAAUAUCCACUACCACUGGGAAAUAGUCUAUGCUGUGUGGCUAAGAAAAAUUCAUUCAGAAGGCCAUUUCUUUCAAGGCCUUGUUAUGAUGUUCCCUGUUAUUUUCAGUAUUGCCACUCUAAAUCUUCAUAUCAGCCCUCAAAAUAAGCAGACAAGCAUAUCAGGGGUCUAAAUGUGUCUGUUCACGGCUGUUUUAAAUGGCUGUGGAAACGUUUCUUAUGCAGAUAAUAAUAGUGAGUACAGCCAGAGAGGUUCCCUUUCAACUCAGGAAAACACAUUAGUACAAAAUAUGCAGUUGUGUUAGGUACUUGUUGCAUUAAGAUUUCACAGAAAGGAAUCCCAAAUUGAAGCCUAGAUCUUUCUGAGUUUGUGGGUUUAUUGUUGACAUGGUUAUAAAUGCACUGUAGAAACUAUUUACAAUUUAAUUCAAAGCGCUAGUCAUUCACUUUUUUUUGCAAAGCAAAUGCAUCUUAUUUAGUUGCCCAAAUUAGAGCUGCUUAAUGCUUAAAUGAGAAUGCUGUGAGCUUUUGAAGAUCUGUACCAAACUAUGGAGUGCAAGAGGUGCCUAAUUUUGAAACACUGAUGUGAAUAGCAGGGCAUACAUGCGAGUAGAUAUACUGUGCACGUUGUCUGCCUGUUAGCGUUGAAUGUAUGACCCAGUUAGCUUCUAUCCCAGCCAUUUCAUAGAAUCAUAGACAAUUAGGGUGGGGAGGGACCUCAGGAGGUCAUUUAGUUCAACCCCUUGCUCAAAACUUAUUUAUUUAGCCCCAACUAAUCGUCCUACCCAAGUCUUUUUUAUAGCCAGGUCUUAAAAACCUCCCAGGAUGCAGGGUCCUCAACAUCUCUGGGUAGCCUGUUCUAGUGCUUUACUCCUCUCCUUGUGAAAGAGUUUUUCCUAAUAUCUAACCUCAAAUUCCCUUGUUGCAACUUGAAACCAUUGCUUCUUGUUCUGUCAUCUUCCACUGCUGAGAACAGUCCGGCUCCAUCCUCUUUGCAACCACCCUUCUGGAAGUUGAAGGCUGCUAUCAAAUCUCCUCUCCCUCUGCCCUUCUCCAGAUGAAAUAAGACCAGUUCCCUGAGCCUCUCCCUAUAAGUGAUGUGCCCCAGCCCCCUAAAUCUUUUCAUUACCCUCUGUGGGGCUCUCUCCAGUUGUUCCACAUCCUUUCUGUAGCCAGGGGAUGGGAUCAAAACUGGACACACUACUCCAGAUAUGACCUCACCAGUUGUGAAUAGAGGGAAGAAUCACUUCCCUCAAUCUGCUGGCAGCACUUCUACCAAUGCAGCCCAGUGUGCCAUUAGCCUUCUUGGCAACAAAGGCACACUUUCUGGCUCAUAUUCAGCUUCUUGUCCAUUGUAACCCGCAGGUCCUUUUCUGCAGAGCUGCUGCCCAGCCAGUCAGUCCCCAACCUGUACCGGAGCAUGGGACUGUUCUGUCCUAAGUGCAGGACUUUGCACUUGUCCUUGUUGAACCUCAUGAGAUUUCUUUUCGUCCAAUCCGCCAGUUUGUUGAGGUCUCUCUUAAUCCUAGCCCUACCCUCCAGCGUAUCUACUGCUCCCUCCACCUUGGUGUCAUCUGUUGGUUGCCCCUAACAUACCAUUUGUACAUGAGGUUAUGAUUGCAGUCUAUUUAAAGUAUAUGUGCAUAUAUUUGGUUGUAAGCCCUGUUCCUGAAAGUACAAAAGCAUAUGAAUAGCUCCGCUGGAGGCUGAUACCAGAGAUCACUUUUUUGGGAGCCAGUAUAAUCCAAUUUUAGCUACGUAGCUACACUUAAAAUAGUCAGAAACAGUUUUUCAUUGCUUUUAAGCCACUGAACAUGAGAAGCAACAGGGGGUAGGUAGGUCCUUGUACUGUAUACUUAGCAGUGAUAAAAUAGUUCACAUAUUCCAAAGCUGUGUUUGGAGGAAAAAAAGGAAAGCUGUAUUUGGACAGUGUUAAUAAAAAUGAGCAGCUAAAAUAUAGAGAGGAGAAUAUAGACUCUAGGCUAAGGAGUGUGACACUUUCCCCUCAUCCAUUAUUUUCACUGGACUGGUGUUCUUUGGGGAAUAUGAAGAAUGAAGACCAAACCUGAGGGAAUGCAGGUGGUGAACUCAUCAGGGCUUGGUUCACUUUCGUGCAGAAGGCCAUGAUGAUAUGCCUUAGAAUAAGUAGCACUUUAUCAUGAUCCUUACCUUUUUAUAUAGCACUUUUCCAUUUUACAAAGGGAGUCACAAUCUUUUUCUUUGUUAUAGCUGGGGAAACUGAAGCAGAAGGAAGUGAAAUAACUUGGGUCAGUUGACCUGGUGGGUCAGUAGCAGAGCUGAGAAUAUGCAUGAGGUCUCUGGAGUCCUGUAAUUUUUCCCUUAGAUUCUGUUACUUCUCUUAAGUGGUGCCUUCUUGAACUCUUGCCUGCCCACAGGGUAAAUUUCUUGUGCUAGUGAAUGACUUAAACAACACUAGAGAAACAAGGCAUUGAAGAUACUGUGCAUUUUGUUAUGCUUUUUGUGGUUCACUUCUGGGUCUGCCGCUGAGCACACUGGAGAGCCCCCCGUGCGCCUGUGAGAUGCCCCAUCCACCCCACCAGUGCAGCGUUCACAAGUUGUGCCUGGGACCUCAAGUCCCUUUCAGGUGCUCCACGGCUUCAGCGUGAACUAAGAGAUUCCUGUUCAUGGAGAGGGUGGUUCAGGUGAUCAGUCUGAUCCGGCCUGCACUUGCAAUUCUUCCUUCGUUGUUCUGCAAGUAUAGUCGCCUCCAAAUUGGAACACCUGCUACACUGAUGUCACAGAGCCAGCAUCUAUGCUUAUACAAAGGGAAGAACAACAAUCUUUUUAUUGCUGUUAAGCAGAUUUGCCACAAAUUCCGUUUCCACUAAAACAUCAAAACACCAAGAACAAGGCCACAUUCCCCUCAAGGAAAUGGAUGGGGAGAGAGAAGAAGAAAUGCCCUGUGAUGCUGAUUCUACACAAGAGGCCUCCCUUUGGACAAUUCUUGAUUUCAGAGAUUAGCAGAUCCCCAAAUACACGGAAUUCAGUUCUCUUCCUCUUCCGCUUCUUCCAGAAGACCAUCUUCCUUUGAAUGCUGCUGCAGGAAAGGGAGUGCUUGGGCUGCCUCUGCUGCCAGGCAAGCAGAAACAGGCUGGGAAUUCCACAUGCUGACAGGACAGAACGUGGCAACACAAUGACCAGAGACCAAUCACCGAUGCCCAAAAAUGAAGAGUCAUCAGAGGGGGUAAAAGAUACCAAAAGAGGGGAUUUCAGAGAAGCAAAGGGUCCCUAGGAAGGGAACCUGAGGCCACCAUGGACAGAGGGUAUACCACCAACCUGUCUUAUCCACCCCAUGGUGGGGGGUCCUCAGCUUCCAGCCUCCAGGCUGCUGACAUCUCACAUUCAAGAGAGAACUUCAGAGUGAAGCUUGUGUACUGGCCAGAUGCACCAUGACUCUGUGAACCCUGGGACUGGUAGCUACAGAGGUGUUUGCCUUAUUCUUACCUGCUAUCACUGUGUAUCAAUACAAUUUGCCUAUGAUCAGAUGGUGAGGUUGUGGUCAGUCUGAGGGGUUGGGUGUGGCGGGCCAGUAGGUGGUGCUCCUGCACGGAGCCACCCACCUCACUGCUCCCAACCACCUUCCAGGCUCCGAGUGCCUCCCUGGGGGCAGCCCACAUCUAGCCGACCCCCUUCCUGGAGCCGCCACCACCCAGGGUCUGGCAUGAUCCUGGCUCUGUCCCCUGGGAAACACAGGUCUAGUACCCCUCGAGGGUACGUGACUCACUUCAAGAACUUGAGGUGCUCUCCUCAGUAUGAAGCACCAAUAGUGGUCUCCCUUAGGCAGCCGAACCGAGGCGGGGACCCCAAGGCCUAAUCUAGACCCACUCCCAGUAAGUCUCCUGUGCUAGGUACAAAGGAGCACUUUAUUGGUUACAAGAAGUAGGCUUGGAAUGGGGUACAGGGUUGAGCAGUAUCAGAGAAAUCCCUUAGAGCAAACAGGGGUAGCCUUUGAUCAUGCACCUGAGUUACUUGAAGCUAUAUAUCUGGUUAGAUCUCAGGUAGCUUACUCACGAGCAUCAACCAGAGGCAGGUGGAGAGUCUCUCUGGAGGCAGGCUGUUCAUUGAUCAUGAGUUUCAAGAGAGGGAGCCAGUUUCAGAUGGCCCAGCUCUUCUCUCUGAGUUUUCCUCAUGGCUACAACCCUCGUCCUGAGCAGUUCUUUACUUAUAUAACCCUUAUGACUUCGUUUACCUGGUCCAAUGGAGGCCAGCACCUGUUGGCUGCCAGUGAACCCACUGGAAACACAUCACUGGUUGCCAGGCAACCUGGCAGGGUCUCUAGCCCCCUCCCGGUCAGGUUGGCAUUGCUUAGGAGAAUAGGGAGCGUAUGCCUCUCACCCGGGGAGGUGAUGUCACUUAGGCAGAGGGAGCAGGUUUCCUCCUUCCCUUAGGAAUGUCUCAAACUCAGGUUCCCUAAAGAGAUGGGAUGUCUGCCCUCUGCAGGGCCCAUGUUAACCACAUUGUCACAGAACAGAGUUUUUGGGGAGAGACAGAGGUGGCAUUCUGCCACACAGAGUAUCUAUCUGGGUCAUAAAUCCAGUCCCGACCCCUUCUUCUGCCAGAAAGCCUGUAGGUGAGGCUUGGUAAGUCAUGUAAGAAAAAAAAAACUUUAAUAAAUGAUCAUAGAAUUGUAGAUCCAAAAGAGACCUCAGCAGGUUAGCCAGUCCCAACCCCCUGCCCGAAGUAGAAUUUGCCAUGAGUAAACCAACCCAGCUUAGUGUUCGUCUAACCUGGUCUUUAAAACUUCCAAGGAUGGAGAUUCAACAACUUCUCCGGUUAGCCUGUUCUGAUGCUUACCCACUUAAAUAGUAGGAAAGUCCCUCCUAAUAUGCAACCUAUUGACCCAAUAUGUGUGUUCUGUAUUUUGGGGGCGCUCACUUUUAAAUGUCCCAGAUCAGAAUGACUAGAGCCCUUGCAAUGGAGAAUGGGAGCUCCAUUCUGAACAUAGCAUGUGCUGUAAAAUGAAUCAGGAGCUCAGAAAAAUCAAGCCCUAGACUUCUCAACAGGGAUGAGUGGCUUUUUUUUUUUAGAUAAUUGUAUCUGUGGAUCUCUGCAUGUCUAGGAACUCCUUGUGUACGAUAGGGACACAAUUGGUCUGUUGGGAAGAGAAAUUCUUCAGUGUUUGUAAAACACUUAGACACUAUGAUGACAGCGCCAUGGAAAAUCCUAGUCAGUGACAGCAAAAACUGUUGGAUGGCAACUACUUUAGCCAUAAUUGUCUGUCCUAGGCAAAAAUUAAAAAAGAGGUCCUGUGAAAAAAAUGUGACCAUUUUAUUUCCAGCAACAUAUGUUAUUUACCAUACAGUAUUUAAAACCUACACUGAAUAUAGAAUUAAUCAAAUGUACACAUUCAUGAGGACAGAAGUACAUGGCAAUGGCAUGUAAUGCCAGUUGCAGAAAUUGUGUGAAAAUUUUAAUAGGGAAAGUUGGUGUGCAGAAACUAUUAAAUACUGUGCAUUUUCACUUUUCUUUCUCUAUACUAUCACAGGAAAAAUCCACAUUAGGGACUAAAUGGCCUGUAAAAUUGUAGUUGAGAUAAACUGAAUGUGAUGGAAAGACAAAGCUGAACAAUAGCAAGAAAUCCCCAAACAUAAAUAUAUAUGAGAUACUAUAAAUAUGUAUGAGGUAGUAGUACCUGAUAUAUAUUUCUGUUUUGGGUUUUUUUGCUGCUGUUCAGAUUUUUGUUUCCAUCACGUGUGUGUGUGUGUGUGUGUGUGUGUGUGUGUAUAUAUAUAUAUAUAUAUAUAUAUGAUGUGUGUGUAUCCUAGCCAAUUGGCCAUCAAGAAUGACAGGACGGUGGCUGGGACGGAACGCUGCCUCCCACCGGGCCAUGUUGCCGCCACUCUGCAUCCAACUGCAUGCAAACCCUCCCCCCUUGCUCUGUGUUCAGCCCUAUGCACCCCCCCCCCC